GGUGGGAGGUUAAGUGUUUCCAAGGAUUCAGAUGUUUAUCCUGCUGGUGGAAAUGGCCAUCAGAACAGGCACAAUAGAAGUCCCAAGCAAGAUGUGGAAGAAUUAGAAGCUUACAGAGCAUCCUUUGGGUUCAGUGCUGAUGAAAUUAUCACUACUCAACAAUAUGUAGAAAUUUCUGAUGUAAUGGACGACUCAUUUACCAUGACUCCUUUUACUUCAACUAAACCUACCCGAGAAGAAAGUGAUGAAGCUGCAUCUAGGAGUGAAGGCCAAAAGGCACAGACAGUGCAGACAAACUUGCCAAGCCUUAAAUUGAAAUCAGAUACCAUAUGUGGUGAAGUGCC
rnacentral:misc_RNA from 1 species